rnacentral:lncRNA from 1 species
UGAUAUAAGUGUUGAGAUAUGUGGGUAAGAGAUCCUUUCUGUCAAGAAAAUGGGAUAGGCAGGUUAAAGUUUUUCCCCUCUGGAAAAGGGUCUUUGAAAAUAAUGCAUCGGGCUCCAUCUAUGGGCUGCCUUGACGGGGCUGAGGGUACUCCCUACUGGCGGGGACCACAGAAUGACACCGAGAGAGCUGAAGAGAAAACACUAGGAACAAAGCUCUCAUUCUCAGUAUUGUUAAAGUCUCUCCAAAGGUAAAAAUGGGUCAAAGUAUGAAGGAGUUCUAGAGAAGACUCUGGAGAAAAGUCUUCAAAAUUAUGUUAUUCAAUUGGAGAUCUGAGCUUGAUAUUCCUAUUAAGUGGCUUGAAACUCCAAGAUAAACUUUCAACUGGAAAUCUAGGCCUGGGGUCAUUGACAACACUGAGGGAUUCUCAUCCAAUUUUCAAUGGAAGCCCAAGCCUCAAACAAGCCAGAUUGCAAAAAGACAAUUUUGAACUCCAAAUCUCUGCCAAAAUCCGAAGUAGGAUUAUGCUACUUUCUCCUCUUCACACAGCUGCCUGCCAGAACUCCUGCCCGUUGUGAAGACAUUCUCUUCUCAGUCAUAAUCUUUGUUAUUUCUCUGACAGGACCUUGCCACUAGCAAAGCUAGCUUCUCCGUGCCAACAAUAAACUUCCCUUUUGCCAGACUUUUCAGGUUCUCGAAUUCUUUCACAUUGGACCUGUGCGUCAACCAGAAAGGAUUUUCACAAUUGCACAACC